ensembl:lncRNA
CCUGUUGCAAUAUAAGCUGUGAAUAAGUAGCUGCCACCUGGGCAUUCCCAAGGAAAAUACGUCCAUGGUCAUCUGAAAGGCCAUGAGGAUAAUCCUAGUGAGAAUAAAUGAAAGAGAACUUUGUUUUUUGCAUUUGGUUGUAUGUUGCAGACAUUCAGAAGAGGACUUAUCGUGGCAAAAGAAAACAUUCUGUCCUUGAGGGGAUCUCAGAAUAGCACAACGUGUUCAAUAAGGCUUUGAAAGAAAACAAAGAGCUGAAGGCCAGAGCUGACUCCUUCAGACAAGAGUAUAAAAUGCAGGACUCAAAGUACUUAAAAUACUUCAGUGACAAGCAACAAAGAAAUGCCUGUUACUAUAAUUGCCUGCAUUAAGUAAAGAGCCAGAAAAUCUUGAGAACUUUUAAAAAAGUAGAUAUUUGAUGUGUAGGGAGUAUAAGAACAAAAUUCUCUCGGGCCAUGGCCGGAGCCCUGAAUCAGCAGAACUCUUUUCCUUGAAGAAAGUGAAAACCAGAGGAGGCCUGGCUGUUGGAGAAUCCUCCACUGUGGCACACUGUGUGCAGCCGCAUGGGAGAAACCCCUCGCUGCAGUUUGAGAGCAUGCCCUGGCUCUACCAUAUUCAAGGAGGAGCAUUAAAAAUGCAUUGUCAGCCCUAGAAGGAAACCUUAUCAUUGCUGUGCAGCCCGGACACCAUGCGUUACCAAUAGGGCAUAUAGGAGGUGCUUCUAUCGCCAUGGGGCUGUGCUGUACUUGUGGUGCUUGGGAAGGGUGUAUUUGGUGCCUUCGGUGUUGUGUGGCUGGUGUUAGAAGCAGAAAACUCAAGCACAACUGGAUAAAGAAUAGUUCUAAGAAGGGCAGGGGAUCAUUCUGAAGAUUUCACAGGAAAACAAGAAUUAGAAUCAAAAUAAAGAAAACUGAGAGGAAAGAUAACAAAAAAAAAAAAAAAAAAGAAAGUGAACACUGCAACCCUCCCAAAGCCAGAACAGCUUUCUAUCCAUGCAUGAGCAUCCCGGCUGGAGCGCAACCAAGCUGCUUCCAUCAGACCUGCACACCUCCCAGGUGUGUCUGCUGGAGCUUAUACCUAUGCAUAACUUGAACACUUUAUUCUAAAAGGAAAAGCAAUAAAAAUCAAAGCAGGCUUGUAUACAAGUUAAAUCUUCUGUUAAGGAGCGGUAAUGUUAUUUGUUUUCAAUCAAAUGAGGGCAAUAAAAGCCAAGAUGUGUAAUGAAACCCCACCUGGUGUGUAUCGGCCUUGACACAGCCUUUUUAUUCAACAUAGCCUUUGCUUAAUGGAAAUCCCUGGCAAAGAGCCAGAGCCAGGGCUGUAAUGUUUGUAAAUAGCUGUUGCUUUCAGCCUGACUUUCCCCAGAGAAAACCAUGCAGGAAUAAAAAAAGUGAAGAUUCGGUAACAGCGUAAUUGCGUCACAUAACGGCCACCCCCGGGAAGCCAUCUGAAGUUUUAAUGCUCUAAAAUGAAUGCUGAAUUCACUCGUUUUCUCUAACAAAGGUGGCUGUUGCGGUGGCUGCACACACACCAGAGGGCUGCUGAAGGAAAGCGGAACAAAUGCCAUUUGCAAUUCAAGUGCCUUUAGACCCCAGAUGCUGCUGCCUCACAACCACUCUUCUGCAACCUUGAUGAAGGAUGGUAAUUAUCCCUCCAGUACUGGUGACCAGCACAGGCCCGGCCCUAAUCUCUUGCUGAUGUGGGCGACAGACCUGCUCAAGGACACAGAGGCACAGGUUGGUGCCAGGCCAUUGAAAUGACACCGAGUCAGGCUGGAUUUGACUCAUACUCCUGGUCCUGCAUGCUAGAAUAAAUAUCUGCAGCUCUGGCAUGACAGAGAUGGGGCUUCAGAACCUUCCCAUCUUGUACUGGGGCUUGCUCAAUAUUGGGAUCCCCUCUUGGCAGCCAGGAGAACCCCAGAGCCACCUCAAGCUUUCCGAUCCACUUCUUUUAACCUGGCACUCGACUAUAAACAGCUGCCGGUGGCACACAUGGUAUAUUAAGCUUCUGGAGAAAUGAACUAGUUUUCAUCAACAGCCCAGCCAUCCUCUUGCUGUGUUUCCAGCCACUGCUAUUGCCUUGGAUCUCCAGACGCUGACCUAGCCUCUGCUUGGCAUUCAAGUUGUAACACCUUUGACACUAACAACCCACUCAGGAAGCCACAGGAAUAAGUUAUGUUCUCUGAAUGACGUGUUUCGGCCUUUAUUCUGCUCACGAACAUGGACCAGAGUUUCAAGUUAUCAGCCGUUUCUUACAGAACACUACUCAUUCAGAUGUUCCUCUUGGCAUUAAGCUAUAAACAUGGGGCCUACCAUGAGGGCCUACUCGUAUGUUGAGGGGUGAUAUGCUACUACCUGAGCCAUGCCACCUGCUCAAAGAAAGGGAGAGAGUAACAGCAUCUCCCAGCUAACCUCAGGCAUAGUCUCUUCAGGGGGCAGCAGGCUGAGUGCAAAGUCAAAUUUGCCUUAGAGGAAAAUCUAUCCAAGUGGGGAUUCUGAUGGAGAGAGAAUUUCAUCCAACUAUUCCGUGAUGUGGUGUGUGCCUGCCUUGCUGCACCCAGCAGCAGCUGCUUCACUGCUUCACUGAUCAAAGCUGGCAAGUUAUUUUAGACAUUUUGUAGGAGCUGGUUACCCACAGUAUGCUUCAUGUUCAGUUGGCCUUGGUCAUACCCACAUCCGGGGCAUGGUGCAGAGUUAGGCUGCCUAGUGACCUUGCCAGGUGGGAGAUGGCCCUUGGUGCAAAGACUGGCUGGGGAUACACUGAUAGUGAUGAGGAACUCCUGUUUGGUACUGCUGAUGAAGGCCAUCUCUCCCACAUGCAAAUCCAUGUUGUCACAGAACUGUACACUGAACUUGAGGAGCAGUCCCACCAUCAUCGCUGAACAUACCUCUAGGUAAUGGCAGACUGUGGCUGGCAUGAAUCUGCCCUUGUCAUCCAAGGUGCAAACUUCUGCUCUGCUGCUUACCCCUAGCAGCCACAGAGCUGGGCAAGGAGGCAGCAUUCCCCAUCAUGUGCUUACAUUAAAACGCAAUCCUACAUCUUCAAGCUAGGUGUAUGAACAAUAACCUCAAGUCACUGUCUGAUGUCCUGCUGUUGGACUAGGAUUGCUUCAUGUGAAGAGCGUUUUAUCAAAAUAAAUUGCACUGUACUGUGUCCAUGGCUGCUUUCUUUAGCAAGGUCUCUGAUAAUUCAGUCCUGUUGCAUCUCAAAUGUAAGUGGUAUUGACAAAAGAUUGCAUGCAGCAGCAAAAACACAGAUGAGGCAAGUUGCCACCUCCUGAAUGGUCCCUUGUCUCAGGGCAAGCAUUUUCCUUUCUUCCCCUCUAAACUUCAAAUGCAGGAGGAAAAGGUUGAGCCUGUUGCAUUUUUCUCAAAUACAGCCAUUCUCUCCUUACCAAAGUAAGAAUUAUGAAGGUUUUAACAUGAAUUUAAGAAAAAGAUGGAACUCAAUUGCUGAAGUUAAAAGUGACCAGAAGUAGCAAGGCAUUUCAUUUUAGGGGAAAGUUCUGUAAUAUUGAACUUAUAAAGAACAGAAACUGCUGUCUGUCAGACAGGCCUGGAGUUCCCCCAGUGUGCCCGGAGCAUCAGGUGAUGUGGAGGGAACAAUUGGCGUUUUCUGUAGCAGUGGUUACUGCCUGUCUGUAUUUUAAGUAGCAUCCUUCUGAAUAUGAGCUCCAGUGAUAGACAGGGCAUUUAAUGAGGAUUCAUGGGCCACCACGGACCAAAAGAUCACCGACAAAGAAUCCGAAGAUAGGCCAUAAAUGUUUUAUUAUCUAUGCUUUUAGGAUAAUGGCUGUCUUUUUCAUUCUUGUACAUCCCCUAGUGCAACAGGGUCUUGUUUCAUUCUGCAUUAAUUUUUACUUGUUCCUGACUGGUGCUUUUUCAGUACAACCCUUAAAUGACCCCUGCAAAUGUAAAUAGCUAAUAAAAAAGUGAUUUUCCUUAUCCAUCGGUGCAUGGAAACUGUCAGCAGUGCCUAGAGUCCUCUUUUGGCUGAAUUUGGUGGGAAUUGUCCUGCUGAUUUUGCAAGAGACAAAGGGAGGCUCUUUGGUCAGCCCCAAGGUCCAUUCUUGCCACAUGGGACAGGGGCUGAGGGGUCCCCAUGUGAUGGCUAU